CAGUAGCCACGGUAAUACGGAGGGGGCUAGCGUUGUUCGGAACUACUGGGCGUAAAGCGCACGUAGGCGGCUUUGUAAGUUAGAGGUGAAAGCCCGGAGCUCAACUCCGGAAUCGCCUUUAAGACUGCAGAGCUAGCAGGUGAGAGAGGUGAGUGGAAUUCCGAGUGUAGAGGUGAAAUUCGUAGAUAUUCGGAAGAACACCAGUGGCGAAGGCGGCUCACUGGCUCAUACUGGACGCUGAGGUGCGAAAGCGUGGGGAGCAAACAGGACUAGAGACCCCGGUAGUCCCUGUCUCUUAUAA
rnacentral:rRNA from 1 species